CAUAUUAUUUGGUUUUUUGUUAAAAUCAUAUUGAAUAUUUAUUGUAUGGAAUAGUCGAACAAUAAUUUUCAAAGGGUGCUAAAUAUAAUUAAUGGUAUAGCAAAUGCAGAAGUAGCAUAAGUUCAUGUAACUUAUCUGCUAAUGUAGCUUGACACAUUAAAAACAUCAACAGAAAGGAAGGCAGAGCCAAUGGUUCUGGAGGCUGGAG
rnacentral:misc_RNA from 1 species